CAGUAGCCACGGGAAUACGUAGGUGGCAAGCGUUGUCCGGAAUUAUUGGGCGUAAAGGGCUCGCAGGCGGUUUCUUAAGUCUGAUGUGAGAGCCCCCGGCUCAACCGGGGAGGGUCAUUGGAAACUGGGAAACUUGAGUGCAGAAGAGGAGAGUGGAAUUCCACGUGUAGCGGUGAAAUGCGUAGAGAUGUGGAGGAACACCAGUGGCGAAGGCGACUCUCUGGUCUGUAACUGACGCUGAGGAGCGAAAGCGUGGGGAGCGAACAGGAUUAGAGACCCGCGUAGUCCCUGUCUCUUAUAC
rnacentral:rRNA from 1 species